rnacentral:rRNA from 1 species
CGAGCGGACAGAAGGGAGCUUGCUCCCGGAUGUUAGCGGCGGACGGGUGAGUAACACGUGGGUAACCUGCCUGUAAGACUGGGAUAACUCCGGGAAACCGGAGCUAAUACCGGAUAGUUCCUUGAACCGCAUGGUUCAAGGAUGAAAGACGGUUUCGGCUGUCACUUACAGAUGGACCCGCGGCGCAUUAGCUAGUUGGUGGGGUAAUGGCUCACCAAGGCGACGAUGCGUAGCCGACCUGAGAGGGUGAUCGGCCACACUGGGACUGAGACACGGCCCAGACUCCUACGGGAGGCAGCAGUAGGGAAUCUUCCGCAAUGGACGAAAGUCUGACGGAGCAACGCCGCGUGAGUGAUGAAGGUUUUCGGAUCGUAAAGCUCUGUUGUUAGGGAAGAACAAGUGCGAGAGUAACUGCUCGCACCUUGACGGUACCUAACCAGAAAGCCACGGCUAACUACGUGCCAGCAGCCGCGGUAAUACGUAGGUGGCAAGCGUUGUCCGGAAUUAUUGGGCGUAAAGGGCUCGCAGGCGGUUUCUUAAGUCUGAUGUGAAAGCCCCCGGCUCAACCGGGGAGGGUCAUUGGAAACUGGGAAACUUGAGUGCAGAAGAGGAGAGUGGAAUUCCACGUGUAGCGGUGAAAUGCGUAGAGAUGUGGAGGAACACCAGUGGCGAAGGCGACUCUCUGGUCUGUAACUGACGCUGAGGAGCGAAAGCGUGGGGAGCGAACAGGAUUAGAUACCCUGGUAGUCCACGCCGUAAACGAUGAGUGCUAAGUGUUAGGGGGUUUCCGCCCCUUAGUGCUGCAGCUAACGCAUUAAGCACUCCGCCUGGGGAGUACGGUCGCAAGACUGAAA